UCAGUUACAUGUAGAUUACCGGGGCCAAAAAUUUGGAAAUCUAUGACUGCUGAUUAGAUGUUAAGUGUAAGAAAUUUCUUUCCAAAAGUACAUAUCACGUUAGCUCAAUGAAUAUAAUCUACGCCCAAAUUUGUAUUUGAAAUAUUUGUGAAGUUUUCAUUUAAUAUUUAUCAAUGAAACCACAAAAAGGCAGGGACACCCACAAACGUCCUUACAAAAAAAACACAUCACGAGGUUAUUUGACAUUAAAGGCGGUUAAGUAAAUAAAAGAAUGGCAAACAACUGUUAUUGCAAAUUAUUUUGAAAUAGCAUUUGUCUCUGGGGGAAAUAUCUGUCAGUAGUAUAUUAUACUUAAAAUAUAUAUAUUUAUAUAUAUAUGUGUUAACUACGUACAAAAGGGUUUUACUCUUGGUCGAUAUAUCACAAGGUUCAAAUAAGGUGGAAUUUGCUUCAAAAGGUUAUCUUAGUUUGAACUUGACGGAGUCAAAACUCGAAGAAAAAAAGAGAAAAGAAAAAAAAAGAUUACUCAUGUAGGAGUACUUUUGUUCGGAAGAUUACUAAUGAAUGAAACAGUCAUGCGGUGGGAAAAUAUCGGCUGGUUAUCGGUUCAUUGAGAAUGUAAGCGAGCCUUUGAUUGGUUGUUGUGGACACGGUCGAUAGCAUUCUCGCACGCGGUGUCAAGGUGAAACAUGUGAUACUUGAAUCAGACGAAAACGUGGUCUCAGUUCAAGUUGGAUAGUUUGAAAUAUUUGAAAUAAAAUAUUUAACGUUUAAUUUACUUUAAAAUAAUUUACACAGGAAUUACUUUUUAUCUUUGUAUUGCCUAAGUGACGCGAGUAUCGGUUUAUAUUGUAAUGUAAUGCGGAUGUACUAUAUUAUGUACGCUAUAGAUAUAUUAUAAUGAAAAAGAAACCGUGGAGGAAUUUAUUGAAGUUGGAGCUAUAAUUUAUUUACAAACUGCUUGAUACAGGAUUGGCUUAUUUAAUCGAUGAACCUUUUCAAAACGAAUGUAGAUAUAUUAUCCAUGGGGAGAUACUAGCCACGCAGUACCGAUAUAGGUGCGCAGACACCUACUAUAACAAGUUAUGAAACAUAUGUCUCACACAAGGUACGUAUAUUAAUCAUUUCCUAGUUUGUGAUUUUUGUGAUGCUAACUACGCGUAAGUACAUCUCUAUCUUAGUACUGUAUUUUUUUCUAGGACCUUGUUUUUAUUAACUAUUGUAUUGAUAUCAAGUUCGUUGUGGCUUUUAAAGCCUUUUUUAAAUGUCGACAGGAUACUUACAGUGUCUGUUAUGAAAGUACCUUAAGGGACAGUUUUUAGAUACUUUUGGAAGCUGACGCCAUGUUUAACGAUAAAAAUGACUUGACGCAAUAGUUGGGUGGGAAAAUGGGACAUGGCUUAUCAACGGAGAUUUCGCUGUAAUCUAAAUAAAGGUAUGACCAAAUUAUUCCUGUAUAAAGGAUAGUAAUGUUUUUAUAUAGAACAUGUUUUUCUUUACGAGCCGAGGAUGUUUUUAGCUUUAUAACGUUUAUUGUGUAUUUGCCAACCCGAGCAGUGAAUUCUGUACAUUUUUGUCAUUCCGAAAGAAAACCACAAACGUCAUUGGUGUGUUACUGGCAGAUGAAUAAAUAUGUGACUUUAUACUAGUUUGAUAUGUAGCGUUAGCAACAAAGGAUACAGAAUAAACUAUUGAUAGUACAUAAAUCGGAUGCGUAGUAUAGCCUAUACCACGAGGACAACUUUAGAACUUGUUCCGUCCUGCUCUUGAUCGACCAUAAGUACUGUAUAUUUCUUUUAUUACAUGUGUUUAACAUUUCUGUUUUACUUCUUGUUUACCAGAGACAUACGUAAUGACUUAUACACCAAAAUUAAAAUUACAAGUUAAAUGGUUAAGUUUAUAUAACGUUCUUUGAACUAUUUAUGACCUGUACUAUAUAGAUCAAAUAUUCCCUGACGUAGGUAUGGUGGGGAGAGGGUGUAGCACAUGGCUUUUGGCAUAGAAUGAAGAUGACUGAUUUAAAUCACAAUGUCGAAUUUAUAUCCCUUUAUGAGGAGAGACACACUUUCUUUGUCAACAGGAUAUUUCGUUGAAUAUGAAAUGGGUGCAAUUAGAUAUGAUAAUGUUAUACAGGAUAACAAAAGGUUAUAAUUUCAUGUUGUAAGUUUGCAAUAUAACAUGUAAGGUACAAUGACUGGAUGUGAGGUUAAAAUUAAAAAGGUUUAAAGCUACACCGUCGCAUAAUGAAUAGAAACGUUUCGGUAACCUUAUGGCAUUCGAAAAAGAAACAUUAAAGCUAUUUACUGUGACUUCGAGCCUAUUAAACUUGUUUAACACACAGAUACAGUAAAUGAACAUAACAAAUUUUGACAUAUAAGUUCAAAUAUGGACUAUGGAAAAGUCGCUUGAACUGAUGGAUGUAUACCGUUAUCUGACAUGAGCUCACUUUUUGUCAGUUGCUGAUGUUAACUUGUACUGUAUUUUAACCAUCAAGGGAAACAACUUCGUAAACCCAAAAAUUAUACACUUAAGCUCAAAUGUUGAACAAUUGCAAAACAGUCAAGAUAUGUAUUUGUGAAAUAGGAAACUGUUAUCAUGUCAAGAUGUCACUACCCAUUUAACUUGAUGUGUAAAACGUAAUUAUCUUUACAUAUAACCUGUCCAUUUUUGGAAAACAUUAUCUUCACUUCCUUUUUACAAGUCGGCGAUUCGAAACUGACGUGUACAAUUUUGCCCAUCCCAGGACCGGGUUAUUUUAUAUAUCUGUACGUUUAUGUAAUUCAUUUAUUUCUAAACGCUUGAUCACCGAAGGGAUAUUGCAUCAUUUGUAAGAACAAGAGUACAAGAGUCUCUUUAAUAGUUCUUUUUUUUUUAUAUUUCUUUAAACAGUUAUCGUUAAUCUAAAUACCAAACGCAAUUCGAAGGGGAGUUUUCUGUUAUGACACCAAUUUAUUUUGUUGCCCUG